AUACGGAGGAUCCAAGCGUUAUCCGGAUUUAUUGGGUUUAAAGGGUGCGUAGGCGGACUUAUAAGUCAGCGGUGAAAGUUUGCAGCUUAACUGUAAAAUUGCCGUUGAAACUGUUAGUCUUGAGUGUAAAUGAGGUAGGCGGAAUGUGUUGUGUAGCGGUGAAAUGCUUAGAUAUAACACAGAACACCAAUUGCGAAGGCAGCUUACUGGACUGUAACUGACGCUGAAGCACGAAAGCGUGGGGAGC
rnacentral:rRNA from 1 species